rnacentral:rRNA from 1 species
CCUACGGGUGGCAGCAGUGAGGAAUAUUGGUCAAUGGGCGCGAGCCUGAACCAGCCAAGUCGCGUGAGGGAAGACGGUCCUAGGGAUUGUAAACCUCUUGUGUCGGGGAGCAAAAGACGCCACGCGUGGCGUUCCGAGAGUACACGAAGAAAAAGCAUCGGCCAACUCCGUGCCAGCAGCCGCGGUAAUACGGAGGAUGCGAGCGUUAUCCGGAUGUAUUGGGUGUAAAGGGGGCGCAGGCGGAAGAUCAAGUCAGCGGUAAAAUUGAGAGGCUCAACCUCUUCGAGCCGUUGAAACUGGUUUUCUUGAGUGAGCGAGAAGUAUGCGGAAUGCGUGGUGUAGCGGUGAAAUGCAUAUAUAUCACGCAGAACUCCGAUGGCGAAGGCAGCAUACCGGCGCUCAACUGACGCUCAUGCACGAAAGUGUGGGUAUCGAACAGGAUUAGAUACCCCUGUAGUC